rnacentral:lncRNA from 1 species
AUGGGAAAGAAAAGGGGAAAGGGGAAAAGUAAAGGGGAAAUGGGGAAAUGGGGAAAAGGGGGGAAAGUGGAAAAAGGGGAAAAGGGGGGAAAGGGGCAAAAGGGGGGGAAAGGAGGAAAAGGGGGAAAACGGGGGAAAGGGGGGGAAAAAAGAGAGGGGAAAAGGGGAAAGGGGAAAGGGGGAAAAGGGGAAAUGGAAAAGAAAAGGGAAAAGGGGAAAUGGGGAAAAAGGGGGAAAGGGGGAAAAGGAGGGAAAGGGGGAAAAGGGGAAAAAUGGGAAAAGGGGGAAAAGGGGGGAAAGGGGAAAUGGAAAAGGAAAGGGGAAAGGGGAAAAGUAAAGGGGAAAUGGGGAAAAAUGGGAAAAGGGGGGAAAAGGGGGAAAGCGGGAAAAGGAGGAAAAAGGGGGGAAAGGGGGAAAAAGGGGGGGAAACGGAAAGGGGGAAAGGGGGAAAAAGGGGGAAAAAGGAGAGGGGAAAAAGGGAAAGGGGAAAAGGGGGAAAAUAGGAAAGGGAAAAAAAGGGAAAAGGGAAAAGGGGAAAAGGGAAAGGGGAAAAGGGGGAAAAGGGAAAAGGAGAAAUGGGGAAAAGGGAAAAGGGGGGAAAGGGAAAAGGGGAAAGGGGGAAAAGGGAAAGGGAAAGGGGAAAUGGAAAAGGGGAAAAGGAGGAAAAAGGGGGAAAAAAGGAAAGGGGAAAAAGGGAAAGGGGAAAGGGGGAAAAGGGGAAAUGGAAAAAAAAAAGGGGAAAUGGGGAAAAAGGGGGAAAAGGAGAAAGGGGGAAAAGGAGGGAAAGGGGGAAAAGGGGGAAAAGGGGAAAAGGGCGGAAAAGGGGGGGGGAAAAAAGGAAAGGGGAGAAAGGGGAAAAGGGAAAAGGAGAAAAGGGGGAAAAGGGAAAAGGGGGGAAAGGGAAAAGGGGAAAGGGGGAAAAGGGAAAGGGGAAAAGGGGGAAAAGGGGGAAAAGGGGAAAAAGGGGCAAAGGGGGGGAAAGGGGAAAAGGGGAAAAACGGAAAAAGGGAAAAAGGGGAAAGAGAAAGGGGGGAGAAGGGGAAAAGGGGGGAAGGGGAAGGGAGAAGGGAAAUGGGGAAAAGUGAAGGGAAAAAGGGAAAGGGAAAAAGGGAAAGGGGAAGGGAAAAGGGGAAAGGGGAAAAGGGGAAAGGGAAAGAGGAAGGGAAAGGGGGAAGGGCAAAAGGGAAAGGGAAAAGGGAAAACGAAAUGGGGAAAUGGGAAAGGGAAAGGGGAAAAGGCGAAAGGGGGAAAAGAAGGAAAUGA